rnacentral:misc_RNA from 1 species
AAAAAAAAAGUAAAAAAAAAAAUACAAGCAAGGAGAGAAUCAGAAUAUGCCUCAUAUUAUGGAGAGAAGAGUUGUGGAAACAGAGGAAGGAAUCUCCUGUUUUUUAGAGUUUUUGAGGUGUCGACUUCGGCUGCAGCAAGAGCUUUUCUAGAAGGUAUGAAAUCGUAGAGGAGUGUAGAGAGAUUUCUGAAGGCAUCAAUUACAAUAAGAGUUUCUAUGCGUACGAAAUGGUAGAGGAAGUAAGGGUUAGAAAGUGAAAGUAGGGUCGCAACAAAUAAUUUUCUCAACCGACUUAAAAGAAGAUUAUUUAACAAAAAUAAACCAACCCAACCCGAACUUGAGACUUAAACAGAUAUAUCGGGUUGGAUCAGGUUGGGUUGGUCAGCUUAAUUCAAAAAGUGAACAAACCUACUUGUUAUUGCAGUUUGCUUGCACCUAUGUUCCUUUUUUAUGAUUUAACUUGUUGAAAUGAUGUUCAAUUUGGCAAGCUGGAUUAAUAAGUUGGUCGAUUACGUUAGCUGGCAUUGAUAGUCAAUUUUAUUUAUUUGAUUUCAUGUGUUGCAGGCUUUUAAUGCUUUCAAACAAAUAUUUUGAUGUUUCUCUGUCUUUGUUUAUUGACAUGUGCACACAACUUAUCAAUCGAGUCAACUGACGUUACAUCAUCUGC